AAUGAACGCUGGCGGCAGGCCUAACACAUGCAAGUCGAGCGCCCCGACAGGGGAGCGGCAGACGGGUGAGUAACGCGUGGGAACGUACUUAUUGGUUCGGAACAACUCCGGGAAACUGGGGCUAAUACCGGAUAAGCCCUAACGGGGAAAGAUUUAUCGCCGAAAGAUCGGCCCGAGGCUGAUUAGCUAGUUGGUGUGGUAACGGCUCACCAAGGCGACGAGCAGUAGAUGGUCAGAGAGGAAGAGCAGCCACACGUGGGCUGAGACGCAGCCCGGACUCCUACGGGAGGCGGGAGAGGCUAAUAUAGCACAAUGGGCGCAAUCCUGAUCCAGCCAUGCCGGGUGAGUGAUGAAGGCCGUAGAGUUGUAAAGCUCUUUUGUCCGGGAAGAUAAUGACGGUACCGAAAGAAUAAGCCCCGGCUAACUUCGUG
rnacentral:rRNA from 1 species